UGGGGAAUAUUGCACAAUGGGGGAAACCCUGAUGUAGCAAUGCCGCGUGAGUGAUGACGGCCUUCGGGUUGUAAAGCUCUUUCUUCAGGGACGAUAAUGACGGUACCUGCGGAGGAAGCCACGGCUAACUACGUGCCAGCAGCCGCGGUAAUACGUAGGUGGCGAGCGUUGUCCGGAUUUACUGGGCGUAAAGGGAACGUAGGCGGACUUUUAAGUGAGAUGUGAAAUACCCGGGCUCAACUUGGGUGCUGCAUUUCAAACUGGAAGUCUAGAGUGCAGGAGAGGAGAAUGGAAUUCCUAGUGUAGCGGUGAAAUGCGUAGAGAUUAGGAAGAACACCAGUGGCGAAGGCGAUUCUCUGGACUGUAACUGACGCUGAGGCUCGAAAGCGUGGGGAGCAAACA
rnacentral:rRNA from 1 species